rnacentral:tRNA from 1 species
GGGUGUAUAGCUCAGUUGGUUAGAGCGCAGCCCUGAUAAGGCUGAGGUCCGAAGUUCGAAUCUUCGUACACCCA